rnacentral:rRNA from 1 species
UACGAAGGGGGCUAGCGUUGCUCGGAAUCACUGGGCGUAAAGGGUGCGUAGGCGGGUCUUUAAGUCAGGGGUGAAAUCCUGGAGCUCAACUCCAGAACUGCCUUUGAUACUGAAGAUCUUGAGUUCGGGAGAGGUGAGUAGAACUGCGAGUGUAGAGGUGAAAUUCGUAGAUAUUCGCAAGAACACCAGUGGCGAAGGCGGCUCACUGGCCCGAUACUGACGCUGAGGCACGAAAGCGUGGGGAGCAAACAGG